AUUGAACGCUGGCGGCAGGCCUAACACAUGCAAGUCGAGCGGAUUCAUCGAGCUUGCUCCUGGAUUCAUCGGCGGCCGGGUGAGUAAUGCCUUGUAAUCUGCCUGGUAGUCGGGGAUCACGUCCUGAAACGGGCUCUACUCCCGCAUACGUCCUGUUGUCGCAAGUGGGUUAUCUUCGGACCUCACGCUAUCAUAUUAGCCUAGUUCGGAGGAGCUAGUUGGUGGGGUAACGGCCUACCAAGGCGACGAUCCGUAACUGGUCAGAGAGGAUGAUCAGUCACACGGGAAGAGAGAAACGGUACAGACUCCUACGGGAGGCAGCAGUGGGGAAUAUUAGACGAGGGGCGAGAGGGUGAUCCAGGCAAGCGGGGGGUGGGAAGAAGGUGUCAGGAUGGGAGAGCAAUGUAAGUUGGGAGGAAGGGAAGAAAGUUAAGAGCGGGAGGUAUUGACGUUACCAACAGAAGAAGCACCGGCUAACUUCGUG
rnacentral:rRNA from 1 species